rnacentral:rRNA from 1 species
CGGCGGACGGGUGAGUAACGCGUGGGUAACCUGCCUCAUACAGGGGGAUAACAGUUGGAAACGGCUGCUAAUACCGCAUAAGCGCACAGUACCGCAUGGUACGGUGUGAAAAACUCCGGUGGUAUGAGAUGGACCCGCGUCUGAUUAGGUAGUUGGUGGGGUAACGGCCUACCAAGCCGACGAUCAGUAGCCGACCUGAGAGGGUGACCGGCCACAUUGGAACUGAGACACGGUCCAA